rnacentral:tRNA from 1 species
GGCGACGUAGCCAAGUGGUAAGGCAGAGGUCUGCAAAACCUCUAUUCACCGGUUCGAAUCCGGUCGUCGCCUCCA